rnacentral:rRNA from 1 species
GAUGAACGCUAGCUACAGGCUUAACACAUGCAAGUCGAGGGGAAACGAUAGAGAAAGCUUGCUUUUUCUAGGCGUCGACCGGCGCACGGGUGAGUAACGCGUAUCCAACCUGCCCAUCACUUGGGGAUAACCUUGCGAAAGUAAGACUAAUACCCAAUGACGUCUCUAGAAGACAUCUGAAAGAGAUUAAAGAUUUAUCGGUGAUGGAUGGGGAUGCGUCUGAUUAGCUUGUUGGCGGGGUAACGGCCCACCAAGGCGACGAUCAGUAGGGGUUCUGAGAGGAAGGUCCCCCACAUUGGAACUGAGACACGGUCCAAACUCCUACGGGAGGCAGCAGUGAGGAAUAUUGGUCAAUGGGGGAAACCCUGAUGCAGCGACGCCGCGUGGAGGAAGAAGGUCUUCGGAUUGUAAACUCCUGUUGUUGGGGAAGAUAAUGACGGUACCCAACAAGGAAGUGACGGCUAACUACGUG